AGAGCGAACGCUGGCGGCAGGCCUAACACAUGCAAGUCGAACGGACCCUUCGGGGUUAGUGGCGGACGGGUGAGUAACACGUGGGAACGUGCCUUUUGGUUCGGAAUAGCUCCUGGAAACGGGUGGUAAUGCCGAAUGUGCCCUUCGGGGGAAAGAUUUAUCGCCAUUAGAGCGGCCCGCGUCUGAUUAGCUAGUUGGUAAGGUAAUGGCUUACCAAGGCGACGAUCAGUAGCUGGUCUGAGAGGAUGACCAGCCACAUUGGGACUGAGACACGGCCCAAACUCCUACGGGAGGCAGCAGGUGGGGAAUCUCGCGCAAUGGGCGAAAGCCUGACGCAGCCAUGCCGCGUGAAUGAUGAAGGUCUUAGGAUUUAGUAAAAUUCUUUCGAACCGGGACAUAAUGGACGGUACCCGGAGAAGACGCCCCGGCUAACGUCGU
rnacentral:rRNA from 1 species